rnacentral:lncRNA from 1 species
GAGGAUAUCAUGAAGAGUAAGACUAAUACAGCAUUUGAGACAAGAGUGUUUGAACAUGAUCUGCAGAUAGAUUGGCCAGGGAUAAAAGUUAUAAAAAACAAUAGAAGAGGAGACAUGGGACUCAUUGCAGAAUCCCUUAAUAUAGCAGAGCAGGCCAUAACCAUGUAUAUUAUCAACUAUAAUGAUUCUGUUAUUAUCUCCAAUGUUUGGCUUUGGACUUUGAGCUCUUAUUAGCUCAUGGUGACAAAGGAUUGACAAUCAUGUUUGGGAGAAGGAUAGCUGUUGCAGGCUUCUCUGCAUGCAGUUAUCCAUCACCUAGAGAUCCCUUGCACACAUUCUGAUAUGUGUUUAACUAACAAUUAUUAAAAACACUAGCACAUUAAGCAAAAUAACCAAAAACUUUAUUGCGGUAUAGCAGUUUCGGAC